rnacentral:rRNA from 1 species
GACGAACGCUGGCGGCGUGCUUAACACAUGCAAGUCGAACGGAAAGGCCCUGCUUUUGUGGGGUGCUCGAGUGGCGAACGGGUGAGUAACACGUGAGUAACCUGCCCUUGACUUUGGGAUAACUUCAGGAAACUGGGGCUAAUACCGGAUAGGAGCUCCUGCUGCAUGGUGGGGGUUGGAAAGUUUCGGCGGUUGGGGAUGGACUCGCGGCUUAUCAGCUUGUUGGUGGGGUAGUGGCUUACCAAGGCUUUGACGGGUAGCCGGCCUGAGGGGGUGACCGGCCACAUUGGGACCGAGAUACGGCCCAGACUCCUACGGGAGGCAGCAGUGGGGAAUAUUGCACAAUGGGCGGAAGCCUGAUGCAGCAACGCCGCGUGCGGGAUGACGGCCUUCGGGUUGUAAACCGCUUUCGCCUGUGACGAAGCGUGAGUGACGGUAAUGGGUAAAGAAGCACCGGCUAACUACGUG